UUUCUUUCCCACAUCCAUCCAUCUCAUCGCUGUCUCGCCCGACGGAGAGAGAGAGAGCUGCCUCCUCCCUUCCAGAUCGCCGGUGGCACCUCCCUCCGGCGGAGCUGGCCGCCGUCCAUGGUCUCCUGCACGCCCUACUCCUCUCACCCCUCCCCUUCCCCCACCCAACCAAACCGCACGCCCAUGGCCACAUCCCUUCUCGAUCUCAUCGGGAACGAGGCCACCUGCAACCACCGGCCUCCAUCGAUCCAACCAUCCAUCCAUGCCAGUAGUAGCACUCCCACCGCCCGUGCUCCUUCCCCAGCAACGCACCCCGACGCCUCCUCGUCCCCACACAACCCGCGAGGCACCGACCUCCUCUUCUUCGCGCCUCCCGAGCAGCGACCAGGAGCCCGAGCUCCAUCUUCUACGCCCGCGUCCGAGCAAGAGGAGCUCGCUGCUCGAGCAUGUACAAGACCCAUGGCGCCCUCCCGAGCUCCUCCCGUGCGUGCCUCCACUCGUUCUCAUCGCCCUCCGUCUUCAUCGCAGCACCACAGGACCAACAGCUCCACCACGCGUGCCCGCCGGCGGCAAGAGUCCCAGGCCAGUGAGCCAAGCCUCUCCCUUGCCUUCUCCUUUUCCCAUGCUCCCUUUCUUCUCUUCCCUCGCUAACCUCCUGCUCUCUCUGUCCUUUUCUCGUUAUGACAGCCAACACCAUGGAUGGAGUCUGUCCAAGAUCUCGCCGCUCGGACCCGCUUCCUCUGACCACCCAAGCCUCUGACCAGCCUCGUCGCGUGGACCUUCUCCCCCACCUAGCAGAUCCGGCCUCUCCUGCCCGUUGACCGCGCCGCCGGAGCCCUGCAUCGCCCCUCACUGCCAUGAUAUUCCCCUCCCUCAUGCAACUGGAGCACGGGAUGAGCGACUCUGACGACUGGAGGCAGAGGGCGGCGUGCUCGGAGAGGUACAGGAGGAGAGACGAGCCGGAGGACAGCAAGAGGCCCGUCUCCGAGAUCGACACCGAGAUAGAGGAGGAGUGCAGGAUCUGCAUGGAGCUCAACAGCAGGGUCGUGCUGCGCAACUGCAGCCACGACAUGUGCAUCAAGUGCUACCAUCAAUGAAGUCAGCCUCCGGCCAUGGCGGAUCUGCAGACGCCGCUGGUGCGACCAAAGAGGAAGAAGGUUAUGGUGGACUACCUGCUACGGUUUGCUUAGCUCGUGCAGAUGGGAGACGGAUGCCCGCACAGAUCCGGUGUCUCCGACCUCAGCAUCCACAAGGAGGUGCGACGACAAUUACAUACCCAACCAUGGGGCAGCAGCAAUCCAUGGAAGGCAAGUUGUCACAUCUGGAGCACAUCAGAGGGAGCAAUGAAGUUUGUACUACUUGGUUCUUACCAUUAGGACAGUACCAGAUGUGCUAAUACGAGCUGAACAAUGCUAUGUAGUAGUAAGUUAAGGCAAAUUGUGUAGAUAAUGUAUUCCUGUGUAAUUAAAUGUUGUAUUCCCUGUGUACAUGCUGCUUUAAAUGACAUGAAGAUUAUGAAAA